rnacentral:tmRNA from 1 species
GGGGUCGACCGGAAUUGACAGGAUGGCGGCAGGUAUGUAAGCAUGCAGCGCGUUGUGAGACUAGCGCUCUAAUCUGAACUCUCAAACUAUAAUUGGCGAAAAUCAAUACGCCUUAGCUGCCUAAUUUAGAAUUAGCUCAGCUUUUGUCCCGCUGACAAUCCGUUCUGUUUUGUCAGCAUCCGGGGCAUCGAUCAACGGAACUGGUCUGGUUAAGGUGUGAUAACCGGACGAGAUAAAGCACCUACGGAAGACGGUACAGGCAAUCCGCCAGCCUUCCCCUUCCCGACAAUUUAAUGGAGGAUAAGCAUGUAGAAAGCAUAAUUUGUUCCAUAUCUGGACGAGGGUUCGAAUCCCUCCGGCUCCACUU